rnacentral:rRNA from 1 species
GAAUGAUUUCAAGUYUGGCCUGCCCACUGAUGUUUAAAUGGCCGCGGUAUAUUGACCGUGCAAAGGUAGCAUAGUCACUAGUUUUUUAAUUGAAAGCUUGUAUGAAGGGUUUGAUGAGAGACAUCCUGUCUCUGAGGGAGUUUGUUAGAAUUUUAUUUUUAAGUGAAAAAGCUUAGAUUUAUGUAAAAGACGAGAAGACCCUAUAGAGUUUAACUAGUAAAGUGAUAUUAGAGAUUAAGGAUUUAUGUUUAGAUUUGUUUUUACUAGUUUUGUUGGGGUGAUUUAAAAAUUGGGUUAACUUUUUUUUAAUUUAAAUACUGAUGUGUAGGUAAUUGAUCCUUGGAUAGAGAUUAGAAGAAUAAAUUACCUUAGGGAUAACAGCGUAAUUUUUUUUAGAGUUCUUAUUGAAAAAAAGGAUUGCGACCUCGAUGUUGGAUUAAAAUAAAUUAUUGGUGCAGGAGCUAAUAAGGAAGGUCUGUUCGACCUUUAAAAUUUUACAUGAUCUGAGUU